GCAAACACUGCGUAGAGGAUGCCUUGAUCACAGGAUCUACCACGCCAGACAUGAAUGCCGACUCCUUUUUUCAAAGGAAUUGUGAAUUUUCUCUUAGGCUGUACAAGUUUUGAGGUCAUAAAAUAUUGGAGCUGGAAGGGAGCUGAGAGAUCGUCUAAUACAGCUGAGAGAUCGUCUAAUACAGCCUUUCGUCUUACAAAUGUAGGAACGUGAGUCUCAGAGAAACCAAGUAGCGUGCCCAAGGACAUGCAUCUAACCAGAGAUGACAGUAGGAAGAGCCUAUGGUGAUUUCUGACCUUGACUCCCCUUCAGCAAUUUGGACUGGGCUCUUACCAUCUGGGAAAUAUCAAUUUCAUUUGGAAACCAGGAGCAUCUUCUACCUCAUCUAGAACUGGUUACUUCUCCAGCCAGCAGCACGUCAAAGAGAAACAGGAAACAAAAAUAUCAUCCAUUGAAAAAAUAGCCAUUUUCAUGCCUAAGGUCUUUGGCGAUCAGAUUAAUCUUUGGUGGCCUGUGCCACCCAACCUGACCUCUUGAGCUCGUCAGAGGAGGCGAAAACUAGACCUGCACUGCUCUGUGUGAGUAUUGUGGCCCUGGUCAAGUGAUACUGGCGCUAAAUAUUAGAGCUGGAAAGCCUUUCUGAGCUCACAUAGUUUGCUAUUACAGACAUGAAACCCAGUUUUAGAGAAAUGAACUAUGUUCCAUCAUUACAUUGUGGUGGUGCCUGCCUUCUCUCUCUGUUCUCAGCUUCCUCACCUAUAAAAUAAGAGGUUGAACAAGAUGACUUCCAAUAUCCCGUCCACCUCUGACAUUCAGUGCUCUGAAAGUCCCUUAGAGCCUUGAUGUUCAACACAUGAGGGGUCAAGCAGCCUUGUGGCAUUAUCUGAGAGACAGACUGGCAGACUCUGGGGUCCCACCCCGGACCUACUGAACAAGAAUCUGCAUUUGAACAAAAUCCCUGGGUGAUUCAUACAUAUGCCACAGUCGGCUUUAGAAAUCUAGUUGAUUUGGGUCCUUAGACAUUUUGUGUUCCUUGCCUAAGGCUUUCAGUUCUCAUUCCUUCAUUAGCCUGCAGAUGUCCUCAGAGAGCCAACAGUGAUCUUAAUGAAGAGGGGAGAACUACAGAAAGCAUUUUCCCCCAUUUGCGUGCUAUCUAUUCUACCCGCCUGCCCUUCAAGUUUCAUUAAGCUCUUUGGCCAGUUACCCAGUAAAGCUACAGAGAAAUGGGCUCCAAAGAGUAUUUUGAAGGUGACCACAUUACAGAUAUCUCAGUGUCUGCCCUUUCAGAAAAGAACUGGACCCUAGGGGUCCUCUCAUCUUAGGAGCAGUGAUGGUGGAGUGAUUUAAAAAACCCCCAAUCCUGUGUUUCCUUGACAAGUCAGCUAAGUCUGUGGUUGAUGUCACCACUCUAAC
rnacentral:lncRNA from 1 species